rnacentral:lncRNA from 1 species
CCAAUUUGAAAAUAAAAAUAUGAUUGUAGGUUUAGAAAUACUGAUUUUGAGAUGUUUUUGAUAAAUCCAAAAAGGUUUCAUUAGCAGUUGAACAUAAAGGCCUAGGUAGUAGAUGAGAGAUAGAGAUAAAUACACAUUGAGAAUUGUUUUCUUUUAAGGGGUAAUUGAAGAAGUGGGCAUGGGAAAAAACACAUGGUAACAAAGAAAAGAGGAAAGCUAGAAAUAAGUCUUAGAAAACUGUAACAUUAAUGGUAAGAUAUGAGGCUACAAAUAUAUUGGAAUUUUAAAUAAAUCUUAAGUUUUCAAACUUUUAAAUUUUAAUACAGGAUGUAGGACUGCUGUGUAUGGACAUCUUUGCAAAACACCAUUGCUACAGAAAGGGUUGAUAUAAUGUCUGGUUUGGAUCUCCUUGCUUCAUUCUUCAAGAGUCAUGACUCCAGGAAGGCUUUGAGAUUGCCGAAGCCACAGUGUGUAGGAUCUCCUGGGAAAAGGCAGGUUAUGAAGGCCCAGGGUUCACAGCUAAGUCUCUAGACUAUGCCUUGGAGAGAACCAGAUCAAGAACUCUUCCCAACUGGCCACGAGGCUAAAUCAGAAACAAUAACAGCAAUCAACACCUACAAAUGCUGACACUUGAAAGGAACCAGAGACUUCUAAGAGGAUGAAAGAGGUGGUCAUUGGGGAGCUGCAGUUAAAUUUCACCUAGAAAAACAGAAAAACAAAGCACCAGAAAAAAGCAAGAACAGGCUGAAUGUGCCUGGGAGUUCAUAAACCUUACCCAAGGCAGCGGCAUGGUCAGAGGAGGCCCCGGCUUCUCAGCUCUUCUCCUCGCUGCAUACUAGCCAGAUGACACUCCUAUGCUACAAGAUGUAUUCCCAGUUGUACAUAUUAAUUUUGAUGCUUGCCUAGAGCCACAGUUUCUCAUUCUCUGUCAACCAGUGUGGUUAAUUAUGUACUGUAAUAUUUAAAUUACAAUUCUGAUUAUUUUUGAGAGAUAAUUAGACUAUGAAAGAGAAGGAGACAGAGUUGCAAUGAAGGUUGUUCAGAAAAUUCUGGUGAUAGCAGGAAGACAAUAUAUUCUCCCAGAAGGAAGACUCAUUUGUGGCACAGUUGGGCCGCAGGGAGACUGCAAUGAACUCUUUGGAACCAUGCAUUUAUAUUAAUUAAGGAGGGGCCAUCUGGUUCAGACAAAAAAAAAAAAAAAGAAAAUAUAAAAUACAAUCAAUUCUAGUAGAUGACUUAUGAAACUCUGAGUUACAUGUGCACUUCCCCAGUAAUUUCUUGUCCUCUAUCUUAUCCAUCUCUUGACUUCAUAACUUCUAUUUUGCCCCAAACAUAAAAAGGACUUCUUACCUUGUCCCUGUUCUUCAUUUACUUGCUUUUGAUACAAAAUCUUAUUGUUAAUAUACAAGUACUUCAUUGUUUCACUGUCUCUUAUGGUAUCUCUUCCAAAUGACCAUGAAAUAUUGGAUAAGAUAGAGUCUGGUGGAUACUUGGUCAAUUUGUUUUCCAACAAUGGAGCUAUUCAUGUAAAUUUAACACAUGCAUUUGUGUAAUUAUUGGACCUAUUAGUAGAUGGAUCUGUGCCAAGUAGGGAAUAAAUAUUCAAUUAAAAUAAAUUAGCUCUUAAUG